ensembl:misc_RNA Metazoa_SRP Metazoan signal recognition particle RNA
GCCGGGUGUGGUGGCACACGCCUGUAAUCCCAGCUACUCUGGAGGCUGAGGCAGGAGAAUCGCUUGAACCCAGGAGGCGGAGGUUGCAGUGAGCUGAGAUCAUGCCACUGCACUCCAGCCUGGGUAACAGAGUAAUACUCUGUCUCAA